UCUUACUUUAAUUUCUAUGUCGCUUCAGAUCUUCGAAGAGUUUGCUCGAAUCACCAGUGUCGACCCUCAACAAAAGCUCUAUGAAAUAGUGGACCAGUACUGUGAUUCCGUUGUGCAACUCUCAGUCGGCAACAGGGCUCCACCGUUAGUUGGUCAGCAUAGUUGUUCUGCAUGCUGCAAAUUUCUGCUCCGGUGAUGCCAAGAGAGAAGACAGCGGUGGGAUUCUUGGUGCCGAUCGAUAGUGUCUUGCACCUGCCACGUGAUGCCACAGCCAACUGGAGUUACUGGCUCUCACACAAACCCUAAAGCACCGAAAGAUUCCACAUGAAACCCAGCUGAAACAUGGAACAAAAAACAGUACAAGAAAGAAGACGUUUCCUCCUUGCACAGGACGAUGAGGCAGGCUUGCCAUUGGCUGUGCUGACGCAAUGUGGGCCGUCCUUGGCCCGCGUCUCUUUCUCGUAUACAUUCACGACUUCCAAAUGAUCUCACAUCAUCUUUGCAGGAAUGGGCUCCGUGGCGACAGUCUCCCCCAAGCCGAGUGUGGCGUGUGGUGAUGUCACGUGGCCGAGCACUUCACGUUGUUGAACUGGAUGACCUUUUGUGGACGGACGCAGACUUCAUUGUGCACGAGGAGUGCAGCGACGACACCAUUAUCGAUGGUGUGUGCGCAAAGGAAAUGAGGAGAGUGGUGAUGAGAAUGGUGAAAACAAAGCACAAGAAAGGCAAGCAAGCUCGCGUGACGUGAUCGACGCUUUCGACGUUAUCCAGACUUUCCUUGACGUCCACGACAACAAAGCUACAGAUAGCUUAUCCGGCUGCCAUGUCCGUAUUGUGCAGGCGAAGUGGAGGAAAAUAAGCGACUAUUUUCAUUAAUUUUGUUCUGGAAAGUAAUGGGCGUGCUUAUUUUGUUCAUUUUUGUCCACUUAUUUUUGCUGCAAUGCAUGCUAUUCUAACUGUUGGAUAUGUUUUUCCUUUUUUCUCUAACAGCUAUGUAACUGAUGCCAUUAUUUGUGUUUAAGAUCUCACCUGUCUAGCUUUCUUCGUAGCUCUGCCGAGCCUUUUAAAGGAAACCCACACUUCAUUCAUAAAAUCAAAUGUAA